CCCUGAAUAAGGGGGUGAAAUAGUACCUGAAACCUUGCGCUUACAAGCGGUCGGAGGUUCUUCGUGAACUGACGGCGUGCCUUUUGCAUAAUGAGCCUACGAGUUACUCUUCACUGGCAAGGUUAAAAAUUUUUGAUUUGGAGCCGAAGCGAAAGCGAGUCUUAACAGGGCGUUCAGUCAGUGGAGGUAGACGCGAAACCUAGUGAUCUACCCAUGGUCAGGGUGAAUUUAUGGUAAAACAUAAUGGAGGCCCGAACCAGUAUACGUUGAAAAGUAUUUGGAUGAACUGUGGGUAGGGGUGAAAGGCCAAUCAAACUAGGAGAUAGCUCGUACUCCCCGAAAUGCUUUUAGGAGCAGCGUGAAUUAAUAAUCUGACAGAGGUAGAGCUACCGAUUGGACUAGGGGGAGUCAAAUCCUACCAACUCCAGACGAACUCCGAAUGCUGCUAGAUGUUUAUUUGCAGUGAGGGCAUGGGUGCUAAGGUCCAUGUCCAAGAGGGAAACAACCCGGAUCCUCAGCUAAGGUCCCUAAAUCUAUACUAAGUUGAUCUAAGGUAGUUCAAUUACUCAGACAGCCAGGAUGUUGGCUUGGAAGCAGCCAUUCAUUUAAAGAGUGCGUAACAGCUCACUGGUCGAGCGAUAGAGCAUCAAUGAUAAUCGGGCAUAAAGUAUAGUACCGAAGCUAGGAACUCUACGGAGUGGUAGGGGAGCAUUCUAUUUGCAUCGAAGAAAAAUCGUAAGGUUUUUUGGAGCGUAUAGAAUAGAAAAUGUAGGCAUAAGUAACGAUAAUGCAGGUGAGAAACCUGCACACCGAAAGACUAAGGUUUCCUGAACAACGCUAAUCGGUUCAGGGUUAGUCGGGACCUAAGGCAAACCCGAAUGGGGUAGUCGAUGGACAAUCGGUUAAUAUUCCGAUACUACCUUUAUCAGUGAUGGAGUGACGAAGUAGUGAAAGAUCCGCGUACUGACGGAAUAGUACGUUGAAGCGAGUAGGUAUAAGUUUUGUUGGCAAAUCCGCAAGACUUGCUGAACGUGAUAGUACCACAAACCUUCGGGCGAGUGGAUAGUGAUCCUAAUCAGACUUCCAAGAAAAACUUCUAAACUUAUGAUAUAGGUACCCGUACCGUAAACCGACACAGGUAGUCGAGGAGAGAAUCCUAAGGUGCUCGAGUGAUUCAUGGCCAAGGAACUAGGCAAAAUAGUCCUGUAACUUCGGGAGAAAGGACGCCUCCCUCUUCGGAGGAGGCCGCAGUGAAUAGGCCCAGGCGACUGUUUAUCAAAAACACAUGGCAUUGCAAAUUCGAAAGAAAAAGUAUAAUGCCUGACACCUGCCCGGUGCUGGAAGGUUAAGGAGAGAUGUUAGAAACUUGUUUCAAAGCAUUGAACUGAAGCCCCAGUAAACGGCGGCCGUAACUAUAACGGUCCUAAGGUAGCGAAAUUCCUUGUCGGGUAAGUUCCGACCUGCACGAAUGGUGUAACGAUCUGGGCACUGUCUCAGCCAUGAGCUCGGUGAAAUUGUAGUAGCGGUGAAGAUGCCGCUUAAUCGCAACGGGACGGAAAGACCCCGUGAACCUUUACUACAACUUUGUAUUGGUAUUGGGUAAAUAAUGUGUAGGAUAGGUGGGAGACUUUGAUCCUGCGUCGCUAGGCGUAGGUUAGUCACUGGUGAAAUACCACCCUUUAUUUAUCUGAUGCCUAACCCAUUUUUGGGGACAUUGCAUGGUGGGUAGUUUGACUGGGGUGGUCGCCUCCAAAAAAGUAACGGAGGCUUUCAAAGGUUCCCUCAGUACGUUUGGUAAUCGUACGUAGAGUGCAAUAGCAUAAGGGAGCUUGACUGUGAGGCCUACAAGCCGAUCAGGUAGGAAACUAGGAUAUAGUGAUCCGGCGGUUCCGCAUGGAAGGGCCGUCGCUCAAAGGAUAAAAGGUACUCCGGGGAUAACAGGCUGAUCUCC
rnacentral:rRNA from 1 species